rnacentral:misc_RNA from 1 species
AAUUCUCAACUCAAAUACUUUUGCGAGUGUUUGGGCUUGGACUUGGGGGUCUGCCGGCCUGUCCCGGCUCCCCUUGAAUGCAUUAGCUCGGACCCUUGCGGAUCAGCUAUCGGUGUGAUAAUUGUCUACGCCGUGGUUUGUGAUGCCACCUUUCAGGUGUUGAGGGAUCGGCUUCUAAUCGUCCCCCCCGGGACAAUUAACUUUGAA